UCUGUUUUGACAGGUCUUUUUUGCUCGAGAUUCAGAAUAGAUUUCACAAACUUUAACAUUUCAAACUCAAAAACUCAGUUUUUACGCUGCUGAGACAUCUCGGACCUCAAAAUGACCCUGAAUUCAUUGAAUCUCACUGUUAAGAGUGCGUUGACUUUGGGAGGAGGAGGCGUCGGCAGCCGGAGUCAUCUGGAGUGAGCUUUGUGACGAGGCAAAAGGGAAAGGACAUACAUGUAUGUGAUUUGGAGAGUCUACAAGGACCUCCAUGACAUGCAAG